rnacentral:rRNA from 1 species
UACGAAGGGGGCUAGCGUUGUUCGGAUUUAUUGGGCGUAAAGGGCUCGUAGGCGGUCUGUCACGUCGGGAGUGAAAACUCGGGGCUUAACCCCGAGCCUGCUUCCGAUACGGGCAGACUAGAGGUAUGCAGGGGAGAAUGGAAUUCCAGGUGUAGCGGUGAAAUGCGUAGAUAUCUGGAGGAAUACCGGUGGCGAAGGCGGCAUCCUGGACCGAGAUUGACGCUGAUGAGCGAAAGCUAGGGGAGCAACGGG